GGCUUGUAUUCCUUUUGUUUAAAGGGAAAGUGUUAAUGUAGAACAAAUCUGCCCAUUCAAGCUUUUGUUCCUCAGACACAACAAAAGCCUGACCAAACCCCUGCCCAACUUCUGGUGUUUGCCAAAGUUUCUUCUUCUCUUCUAUUGGAAGGUUGAAGAGGUCUUGAACACCUUUCUUCAUAUUUUCCACCAGUGAAGGAUUGACUCCAUGAUUAAUCAGCUGUAAUUAAUUUCAGAAAAUUUGUGCAAAACAAAUAAAGUUAUAUCAUAUAUGUAUUCCCUUGAUAUUAAAUCCCAAUAUUAUAUAAGCACUAAUUCAUCAAGUGAGUGCAAAACCAACUUCUCAGCACAGGCGCAAAGAUGAUUUCCUACUCUAGACCCCAUUGCAUCCUACUCUUGAAGUUAAUUUCCACAAAUUAAUUUUUGCAUUUUUUAAUCAAUAAUUGCAUAAAUUCAAGUCUUUCACAUCUUAUGUUGUUAUUAAGUUUAACACUGUUUCAAGAAAAAAAAAAGGGGUUUAACACUCUUGAAGUUUUUUUUAUUGCCAUACUACAUUACUUUUGUAAUUUCAAUCUGGGUGUGGUGAAAAUCAUAGGUCUCUCAAAAGUGCUCGGCUUUGAACUUUCGGCCUAGUGGUUCAAACCUUCACUUUUAACUACUGCCACUAGCACUUAUGAGUGUGACACUCUUAAAGUAAAGUCUAGUUUGGAAGAGCUUUUAUAGAGUUAUCUUAUAUUAUUAACGUUUGGUAAUUGUUAUUCUCACUCCAUCACAUCUAGUUUCACCCCCUUAAAAUGGCAAAAAAAUAGAGAUGUCAUUAAUGAAAUAGAAAAACUACUAAAAUGCCAUUAAUGAAAAAAAUACAACAACCCUCCACUCCCUUCCUCACAUCUCUCUCCUCUUUCUCCCCUUACCAACACCACCCGUCAUCAUCCCAUCUUCCUCCUAUCUUCAUACCCAUCUUCAUCCUAUCUUCAUACCCAUCUCCAAACUCAAUCUCCAUCUUCUCCUCUCUCAUUUUUCUGUCGUCGCCCAUUGUCAUUUGUCUGUCGUCGUCGUUAAAGUUGUCGUUUUCAGAUCUAUUUUUUCCUACAACUAAACGCACUUUAAAGUGUGUCACCUGUCACCUAAAGUGCGUAGUUAACGCACUUUAAAGUGUGUUUAGCUGCAAAUUUAAAGUGCAUUUAACUGCAAAUUUCAACAGAAUUAUAUCAGCUGAUUUUUAAAAAUUAUGAGACCACCACAAUAAUUCAAGAUAGAAUAUUUGGUGAUAUAUGGUGGAAUAAAAAAAAAUUCAAAUUUCAAAAUAAAAUAGCAGAGGAAGGAAUUUGGGUCCAGGACAGUGUGAAAUUACUUAAUUUUUUUCUUCAACUUUGUAGUUUACUCCAUCUUGAUCCGAGACUGAAAAAAAUCAAUUAUUGGACUGAAACACACACUUUAAAGUGUGUUACUUAUAACGCACUUUGAAGUGCGUUACUUAUACUCCCUCUGUUCCUAUAUAUAAGUCACAAAUAACUAAUUCUCUUACAUUAAGAAAAGUAGUUACUAUCAAUAAAUUUGUAAAGAAAAUUAUUUACUUUCCUAGAUUACCCAUAUUUACUUUCCUAUUAUUUUCUCUCUCCAAGUUAAUACUUCUAAAGUUUAUCAUCUCUUUCAUAUUAAAUAUGAGGGUGAAAUUGGAAAAAAAUAUUUAAUGCUUCCUAGAUAUUAUAAAGUAACUUAUAUUUUGUAACAAUUUUUUUUCAAAAAAAGUGACUUAUAAUCAGGGAACGGAGGAAGUAGCACUUUAAAGUGUGAGAGAGAAAAUUUUAGGGUGUUUACAGAUUUUAUAUAUUUGAAGGGAGGUGAAAUUAGAUGAGAUGGGUGAGAAUAACACUUACGUUUAUGCAAGUGUUUGAGAGAACUUAUAUAAAUAGCAUAUGGUCUCUACUUAUAAGCUGUUUUGAGCUUAUUUUCAUAGUUAGUCAAAUCAGCUUAUGAAUAAAAGUUUAUGUUUAUCCGUAACCCAUUUUCAAUUUAUUUCAAUAAGUAUCCAUAACCUAUCAAAUUAACUUAUGAAUAAACUCUUAAUUAAUUAAAUAGAACCUAAUUAUUUAAAAGAUUAUCUAUUGUUUUCACUUUAACAUUGGGAAAGAUAAUAAAUUAGAGGAGAAUUAAUAAGACUAAUUAACCUGGAAGAAACCCCAUUCUUUGCAGGCACGGUCCAGCUUUUGUAGUUCAUGAGAAUCAUGUUCAGACAACAAUUUAUGCAGGUCAAUAAUAGGAACUUGUUGUGAUAAAGAGGCUGUGUGUGUGUUAGAGACAAGAGGUGGUUCUUGAUCUGGACGAACAUAUCGUUCAGGAACUUGGGUGAUGGGUUGCUUUGCUAGCAGCUCCUUCACAGAAGGCACCAACAGAGAGGUUCCUCUGUAAGCCAUUAACUUAGCUGCCCCUUAUGAUGAGUCCAAGUCCUUUUGCUUGGAUGGAUUUUAAGAGUGAUAGUUGAAGAGAUAAAAAUCACCAAUUAAAUUUCAAUUUAGAGUGUAAGAGAGGAAUGUUGGAAAAGUCUAGCUAAUAAUUGCAGUGAAAAUGCAUUUUUCUUCCCUUUUGAAUUUUCAACAUAAAAGUGACAUGUACCAAAACCUGGCUAACUUGAUAAGGUUGUGUGUUUGAUUCGCGCUGUUAAUGUAAGGACUGUGUUUGUGGACGAUCUAUAAAUAUCUUUAUAAGUAACUUGUGUGAUUCCGGAGGUAUGCCCUGACCUGUGGUGGUGACCGGAGCUGAACUCACUCAAACUUUUGUUCAUAAAAAACAUGAAAGUGACAUGAGAGGUGUAAAUGCUGACUUAUUCAAAAUAUCUUUUAUUUUACCUCUUAAAAAAUAAAAAUAUUAGUAUUAAUAAAAUUGUUAUUUGAUAUGUAAUUUUCUUUGCUUCCACUCUUUUCUCUGACUUUUCUUUCUCAUCUAAAUAAAGCAUUAAGUUUUCUUUCUUUCACAUGUAAAUGCAGAUUUUAUUAAUAGCAAGCCAGAACCUCCAAAAAGACAACAUUAUUGACACAUCCAAGCAGCUUUUUAGCCAAUACAUGAGUUGCACUAUUACAGUCUCUUUUAAUAUGAGUCAGAGCAAAGAAAUCAAAAGAAGAAACCAGCAUGCGACAAUCUUGUACCACAAGACCAUAGAUAGAGUAGGAUGGAUUUUUGCUUAUGAAAGCUUGAACAACUUUAAACAAUCAGAUUCAGCAACAACCUUCUUGAAACAAAGAGAGAAGGCCGGAAUUGAUGAUGCAGAGGAGAGAAUGAAUUGUAUUUUAAACAAAAACACAUUUUAUCCUGAAAUGAAUAUGGUACUGAAAGUUGGGGGGACACACCACAUCAAAUAAGAAGUUCAAGAAUGCACAUUUGAUGUCCCAUAAUACAAAUUUGCUAACUCACACUGGCUUCCUAUGUAACAUAUGUUCAGCUUGAAGCCUUCAACAAUAGGUCUUAGUCUUAUUCACUGAUACAACUGUUGCCAAUUAGCAAACCGUUUGUGUCUGUGGACUUGUAUUCUAUCUUUCCAUUUCAGGCAGAUUCUUAUAAACUUAAACUAUUUCCCAAUCUCGUCAUGGAUCCUAACGACUUCCAAGUGUGAUUUCCCUUGUAGCUCACGCGAAAGAAAACCAUUGAGGUAAUCUGCUACACCAAUUUUUCUGAAUAAAGCAGGUCUUUCGGAAGUAACAAGACUUGUUGUUGGACCUAAGAUUCCGUUCAUUGUCGGCCUGUGAAAUGUAGCAACGGAGAUCCUCUCCUUCUCUGAAUUGACUAUUGCUCGAUGCUCAAUGCUCCGGUAAAUUCCAUUUGUUAGUAUCUGCCAAAGCAUUUAUGAAAUGAAUGAAAUUUUCAAUCAAAAUGUUUUGUUUGUACUUUCUUAUAGUUGUUAUAAGAUUAUGUAAAUCCCAGAUGAUAAAAAGAAUUGUGAAGGAUUUUGUGCUGGUUACCUCCAACAUGUCUCCAAUGUUGAUGACAAAAGCAUUAGAAAGGGGUUUAAUAGGAACCCAAAUUCCAUCUUUUCUUAUUUGAAGGCCUUCCAUUUCAUUGACUUGGAGAAGGAUGGUAAAGGCCCCAGCAUCAGAAUGAGGAUUGAGUCCAAUAACUUUAUCUGGUUGAGGACAUGGAGGGUAGUAAUUCAUCCUCAUUCCUUGACUUGCAUCUUCAAACAACUCCACAAAUUCGUUAGUUUCAGUCUUCAGAGCUUUCUCCAUAAGGCCAAUCAUGGUGACACAGAUGUUUUUCAGUUCUGAACUAUAUGCAUCUAGAUUAUCUCUGCAAUCAAACAGAGUUUGUUUGAGUUACCAACAUAAUAAGUAAUAGCAUAUUUGGAUUAGCUUCUUUUUCCUCAGAAUCGAUUCUAACAUCCAGAAGCUACUAACAUAAGCUUUUCCGCAAAAUUGAUUCUAUUCCAAACAUGAUGUUAUAACUACACACAUUAUCCAUUUUGCACAUACACAGAAACAAAGAGAGAGAACCUGAAUGGUUGGGGAAUACUAGGAAUAAGGCGUGGAUUCCUUUUGUUUAAAGGGAAAGUGUUAAUGUAGAACACAUCUGCCCAUUCAAGCUUUUGUUCCUCAGACACAACAAACAACUGACCAAACCCCUGCCCAUCUUCUGGUGUUUUCCAAAGCUUCUUCUUUUCUUCUAUUGGAAGGUUGAAGAGGUCUUGAACACCUUUCUUCAUGUUUUCCACCAGUGAAGGAUUGACUCCAUGAUUAAUCAGCUGUAAUUAAUUUCAGAAAAUUUUUGCAAAACAAAUUAAGGUAUAUCAUCAUACAUGUAUUCCCUUGAUAAUAAAUCCCAAAUACAAUAGAUGCAGUAAUUCAUCAUGCGAGUGCGAAACCAAAUUAUCAGCACAGUCCUGAAUUUUUGUUUGGUAUACUAAAUUGCUCUCGGAGUUCUGACCGAGGAGAUGGUGAAGGCUAGAGGUCUCCCCGCGGCACUAAGGAUCAAACUUUCGAACUUAGCACCUAUUGGGUGUAACAAUCUUGAAUUAAGUAUAUA
rnacentral:lncRNA from 1 species